rnacentral:tRNA from 1 species
CGCGCCCGUAGCUCAGUUGGAUAGAGUACCUGGCUACGAACCAGGGGGUCGGCGGUUCGAAUCCGUCCGGGCGCGCCAA